GAUAUGAUGAGAAAGAGACCCGGGGGCCAUAGGUUCCACUAGUGGCUUCUCUCAAGAGCAUAAGUAUACUACGGUGGGUGAACAAAUUACUGUUGAGCAAUUGACAGAAUUGAGCAUAGUUAUGAGAAUAUCUAGGUAUGAUCAUGUAUAUAGGCAUCACAUCCGAGAACUGACCGUACCCCAAACCGACACAGGUGAACAAGUAGAGUAUACUAGGGCGCGUCGAGAGAACCAUGUCGAAGGAACUCGGCAAAAUGACCCCGUAACUUCGGGAGAAGGGGUGCUCUCCUAUCUUUUGAUUAGGAAAGCGGCACAUACCAGGGGGUAGCGACUAUUUAUUAAAAACACAGGACUCUGCUAAGUGGUAACACGAUGUAUAGAGUCUGACACCUGCCUGGUGCUGGAAGGUCAGAAGGAGAAGUGUGAUAAGCUUUGAAUGGAAGCCCCGGUAAACGGCGGCAGUAACUCUAACUGUCCUAAGGUAGCGACUAGACCGACUCCUGCCUGCAUCUACUACUAUUACUCCACUCAUCGACCGCUAUCCA
rnacentral:ncRNA from 1 species